AGCUUUGCACAGGGGCAGUUUUACCAUAGCUAAUGAGGUUUAUCGGAGGUGCGAUUAUUGCUAAUUGAAAACUUUCCCCAAUGCCCCGCCAUGAGGACCUGGAAGGCAACUCCAACCUUGG
rnacentral:snRNA from 1 species